rnacentral:lncRNA from 1 species
AGAAAUGUUUAUUAAAUAAUUCAGUUCAUUGGGACAGUACAUAUUUAUGUUCAUUAUUUGAAAAUAACAACACACCCUAUAUAGGGACUUUUCUGUUUCCUCUGAGCAUGUUCCUUGUUCCGUGGAGAGCAAAGCUAUACCUGCUUCUGUUUUCUCCUGCUAGACUUUUUGCUUGAGAUUCAUCUCAACAGUUUUCCGCAUGAUGUCUUCUGUGAUGCAGGUACCCUUAUUCAUUUGUGAUUUUCAAGAAUAGCACAUAUUGCCUCAGGUCAGAACUUCACAUCCUCACAUAUAGAAAAGACCCUUCUGAUUCUAGGCCUGAGAGUUUUGAGAACAGAAACGUAUUUGCAGUCUUGAAGACUUCUUUCAAAUACAGAUUUUUUUUCCCCCAUAUGCACGAUAAAUACAUCAUUGACUCCGAUUUGACCAUCUAGAAAAGUGAAUUUGUCCUUGAUACUUACCAUCUGGAAUUUCUCCAAGUUCCUGAAAGUGCCUCAGGUCCUCAAGAAUUAGAGUUAACAGCAGCCUACCAUGGUGGUGUCAAUAUAACGGAGCCACAGAUGCAGAUCUACCGCCACCAUUACAAAUGCCACUCUGAUUUUUUUAAAGUGUUCACAAUCCUAUCAUUUUUACAGAUUUGACUCCUGUGAGUCCGUAUGCUUCUGCAUACUUGAGAGCACAUGUAAAAAGCUAAGAGACACAUCAGAAAUGCUCAUGUAAUAAAAAACACAAGUUGUUUCUGUUAACACACUUAAAUGAACAAUGCAGUGACGCCAUCAUUUUUUGCCAUGCAAACUUUAGUCUUUGAGUGCUCAUAUCCAAUAAAACUUGCAUCUUCACACAGUAUUAUCAGACUAGGAGUUCACAUCUUGCUUUCUUUGACACACUGAUGGGCAGCGUAUGCAAAGGUUGUGAUAGUAUUGUGAAUGGCAUUUUCUAAUGUCUCUACAUUGAGCAAAAUUAACAUCGGCAUUGAGCAGAAUCAGUCCCCACGGCUUCACCAUCCUUCCGACCCUUCUUGCCAUUUUAUUUCACAUUUUGAAUGUCCUUUUCCUGUAAUGGUUAGGUAGGCAUUAAGUCUUUAAGAUUUUUGUCCCCUCUUUCUGGUCCUUCUGCACAUAGAACACAUCCUCAGUGAUGCCACCUUAAUAACAUCUUCAUUGUCUGCAUGCUCUUUUGUAGUCUGGUCAAUAAGGUGAUACUUGUCAAUAAGGUGAGCAACAUUCAGCAGGAACACAGAAACCCAGUAUAUUAUCAAAUUAUUAACAUCACAGUGACUAAUUUUUCUUUACAAGAUAAAACAGGCCUUACAUUUAUAUUUCAUAUAAUGACAAUUUUAUUAGACCUACUUUGUAUACAACACACUCACUAUAGCAACCACAGGUUUCUAUGGGCCGUCCUUCUACCGGCCACAUUGUAUUGAAUUACAUCUGAGUAAUCCUGGACUUCAUGAGAUAGGACCAGCCAAUUAUUAUGCUGGUUUUAGAUCACUGGAUAUAAUACAAAUAUAAUAUAUCUUGAUUUGUAGCAUAAUUUUGUUUGGCAUAUACAAAUCCCGAAAGUUAUGUUUUAUUCUAUGCUAUCUUUUGUUGGUUGCCCACAUUUUGAAGUAGUAUAUUAGAGCAGAGUAGAACCUUUGUUUAAGUGUAGCCCUGUGCUCUGACUGAGUGCAAGAUUAAAGAUAGAACCCAUCUUUUCACUAACAUUUCUUUUAGUUCUAUACAUUUAUAAGCCCUGCUGUCAAUAAUGAUGACUGUAUAGAAUGAAUAAAAUAUUUCCUAAAAC